CUUCCAGUACAAAAGCUGGAAUAAACCCAUAAGACGAGAAGACCCUGUGGAGCUUUAAACAAACCUUAACCCACCACAUCACUACCCCACGGGCUAAAAACAGUGCAAUUAACAACGUUUUAAGUUGGGGCGACUGCGGGGAAAAAUAAAACCCCCAUGAAAAACGAACUAUUUCAAGUGGACACACUAACAAUAGACAUCUGAUCCAGUAUCACUGACUAACGAACCAAGUUACCCCAGGGAUAACAGCGCAAUCCCCUUCAAGAGUCCUUAUCGCCAAGGGGGUUUACGACCUCGAUGUUGGAUCA
rnacentral:rRNA from 1 species